rnacentral:misc_RNA from 1 species
ACCUAGACCUGAUUGAAAUGGCAUUCCGGUUUCCGAAUAUUUAUCAUUAUCAAAAAAUUACCGGAAUACAAUGAAAGCAGGACUUUAC